AUGGACGAGAAUGUGGUUGUCAGGCCUAGACCUGACGAUCUGAAUCUCCCAACUUCUCUCAAGAAACCUGGUGUAACCGAAGCUGCCGCCGAGCGUGACAUUACGGCUUGGCGCCGAGCCAGUCAAUCCCUCCCGUCCGUGACGCAUCCAAUGGCCAAGAACGAACUUGCUAUGUCGGCACUGUUCACCAUCCGGCAAAUCACCUUCCUUAUGCCGCUUCUCCCAUUUGAAUUUGAUGUUACUUUUACCGUGGACUGCAAGAGAAGGACUUGGACUCAUCAACUGCUUCAGCUACGGCCUGCAAUGGCAUGGUAA
rnacentral:rRNA from 1 species